CAGUCGCCGCGGGAAUACGGAGGGGGCUAGCGUUGUUCGGAAUUACUGGGCGUAAAGCGCACGUAGGCUGCUUUGUAAGUUAGAGGUGAAAGCCUGGUGCUCAACACCAGAACUGCCUUUAAGACUGCAGAGCUAGAACGUCGGAGAGGUGAGUGGAAUUCCGAGUGUAGAGGUGAAAUUCGUAGAUAUUCGGAAGAACACCAGUGGCGAAGGCGGCUCACUGGACGACUGUUGACGCUGAGGUGCGAAAGCGUGGGGAGCAAACAGGAUUAGAUACCCCUGUAGUCCCUGUCUCUUAUAC
rnacentral:rRNA from 1 species